UACGAAGGGGGCUAGCGUUGCUCGGAAUUACUGGGCGUAAAGCGCACGUAGGCGGCUUGUUAAGUCAGGGGUGAAAUCCUGGAGCUCAACUCCAGAACUGCCUUUGAUACUGGCGAGCUUGAGUUCGGGAGAGGUGAGUGGAACUGCGAGUGUAGAGGUGAAAUUCGUAGAUAUUCGGAAGAACACCAGUGGCGAAGGCGGCUGACUGGACAUGUAUUGACGCUGAGGUGCGAAAGCGUGGGGAGCAAACAGGG
rnacentral:rRNA from 1 species